UUUGAAUGAUGAGAGAUAUAUUUAUACUGAAAUGUUAUGAAGAACAUUUUUACGAGCUUUUUAACUCUGACUUAU
rnacentral:snoRNA from 1 species